rnacentral:rRNA from 1 species
CUAUGUACACCCAAGUUGGGAGGUGGUUUAGGAUUCCGGGAUCCACAUUGCUUCAAUCUUGCCUUGCUAUCCAAACAAGUAUGGCGUCUGUUAUUCAAUCCAGAAUCAUUAUGUGCAAAAGUUUUGAGAGAAAAAUAUUAUCCAGAUGAUAAAUUGUUGAAUGCAAGAAUGAAGAGUGGUGCCUCGUUCACAUGGCAAAGCAUCCUUGCAGGUCCCCAAACUUUCAAUACGGGGUGUAUUUGGCGUGUUGGAGACGGAAGCCAAAUAAAAAUUUGGGAGGAUUGUUGGAUUCCAAACAGUCACUCGGGCAAAGUAAUUACACCAAGAGGUAAUAAUCUUUUGACCAUGGUCUCUGAUUUGAUAGAUUCGGCAACAGGAGGAUGGGUCGAGUAGCUAGUCAAAGAUACCUUUUUGGCGAUCGAUGCAUCAAGGAUCCUUGCGAUCCCACUGUCACAAAAUGGCAUGUAGGACUUUGUUGCAUUGAAAUUUACAAAGAAUGGUCUUUUCUCUAUAAGGUUUGCGCACCAUGUAUAG